AGUGAACGCUGGCGGUAGGCCUAACACAUGCAAGUCGAACGGCAGCACAGUAAGAGCUUGCUCUUACGGGUGGCGAGUGGCGGACGAGUGAGGAAUACAUCGGAAUCUACUUUUUCGUGGGGGAUAACGUAGGGAAACUUACGCUAAUACCGCAUACGACCUACGGGUGAAAGCAGGGGAUCUUCGGACCUUGCGCGAUUGAAUGAGCCGAUGUCGGAUUAGCUAGUUGGCGGGGUAAAGGCCCACCAAGGCGACGAUCCGUAGCUGGUCUGAGAGGAUGAUCAGCCACACUGGAACUGAGACACGGUCCAGACUCCUAUGGGAGGCAGCAGUGGGGAAUAUUGGACAAUGGGCGCAAGCCUGAUCCAGCCAUACCGCGUGGGUGAAGAAGGCCUUCGGGUUGUAAAACCCUUUUGUUGGGAAAGAAAAGCAGCAGGUGAAUACCCCGCUGUUCUGACGGUACCCAAAGAAUAAGCACCGGCUAACUUCGUG
rnacentral:rRNA from 1 species